AUUGAACGCUGGCGGCAGGCUUAACACAUGCAAGUCGAGCGGGGGAAGGUAGCUUGCUACCGGACCUAGCGGCGGACGGGUGAGUAAUGCUUAGGAAUCUGCCUAUUAGUGGGGGACAACAUCUCGAAAGGGAUGCUAAUACCGCAUACGUCCUACGGGAGAAAGCAGGGGAUCUUCGGACCUUGCGCUAAUAGAUGAGCCUAAGUCGGAUUAGCUAGUUGGUGGGGUAAAGGCCUACCAAGGCGACGAUCUGUAGCGGGUCUGAGAGGAUGCGCUGCCACACUGGGCAUGGGACACGGCCCAGACUCCUACGGGAGGCAGGAGUGGGGAAUAUUGGACAAUGGGGGGAACCCUGAUCCAGCCAUGCAGCGUGUGUGAAGAAGGCCUUAUGGUUGUAAAGCACGUUAAGCGAGGAGGAGGCUACUCUAGUUAAUACCUAGGGAUAGUGGACGUUACUCGCAGAAUAAGCACCGGCUAACUCUGUGCCAGCCGCCGCCGUAA
rnacentral:rRNA from 1 species